rnacentral:rRNA from 1 species
UACGGGGGGGGGCAAGCGUUGUUCGGAAUUACUGGGCGUAAAGGGCUCGUAGGCGGCCAACUAAGUCAGACGUGAAAUCCCUCGGCUUAACCGGGGGAACUGCGUCUGAUACUGGAUGGCUUGAGUUUGGGAGAGGGAUGCGGAAUUCCAGGUGUAGCGGUGAAAUGCGUAGAUAUCUGGAGGAACACCGGUGGCGAAGGCGGCAUCCUGGACCAACACUGACGCUGAGUGAGCGAAAGCCAGGGGAGCAAAACGGG